rnacentral:rRNA from 2 species
GAUGAACGCUCUCUGUGUGCGUAAUACAUGCAUGUGGAACGGGAUAUGGCAAUACAUUCAGUAGCGAAUGGGUGAGAAACACGUAUCUAACCUACCUUUAAGACUGGGAUAACUAUUGGAAACAAUAGCUAAUACCGGAUAUAGUUAUUUAUCGCGUGAUGAGUAAUAGAAAGGAGCUUCACAGCUUCACUUAAAAAUGGGGGGGCGGAACAUUAGUUAGUUGGGAGGGGAAUGGCCUACCCAGACGAUGAUGUUUAGCCGGGGCGAGAGAGUGUACGGCCACACUGUGACUGAGAUACGGCCCCGACUCCUACGGGAGGGGGCAGUAAGGAAUUUUCCCCAAUGAGCGCAAGAUCGAUAGGGCGCCACACCGCGUGGGGAUGAAGUUCUUCGGAAAGUAAACUGCUCUUUUAUGGGGAAGAGAAAAAUAGAAUAGGGAAUGUGUUUUAUCUUGACGGGACCCUUUUUGAGAGGGACACGAAAAACUAUGCCCGAAGCCCCGGGAAUACACAGGUCCCAAGCGUUAUCUCGGAAUUUUGGGCGAAAACGGCCCUAGGGUUUUUUGCCAGACUGGAGUUAAAAGCGGAGCUCCACUUUAGGCCCCUUUGGAACCGGAAAAUAGAAUUUAAAGAGGGUGCGGGAUUCUAGGGAAGCGGGGGGAUGCGUGAUAUUUGGGGGGCACCCAUAGGGGAGGGGGUUUAUUGUGUAUUAUAUUUAGACAAAAGACCAAACGCUUGGAAACACAAGGAUAGAUAUCCUAUAAGAUCAAGGGCGAAUUCCAAUUGGGGUGGCCCCGGGGAUCCCAUAUCUCUAGAGGGGCGACCCCGGGACCCAAAUUCCCUAUAGAGAGACUCAUAUACGCGCUCUCCGUGCAGCGUUUUCAAC